GAAAUGCGAUACGUAAUGUAAAUUGCAGAAUUUUGUGAAUCAUCGAAUCUUUGAACGCACAUUGCACUCUUCGCAAGAAGAGUAUGCCUGUUUGAGAAUCAAAAGUAUUUAUUUUCUGGUAUUUAUACUAGAAAGAUUUGACGUUUCCCUAUUAGGGUGCGUUUAAAACUAUAGCUCCGAGCGUUAUCUUAGUGUUUGACUCUGAUGACCGCCGAAAAGUGUUUGAAUGAAACUUUGGUUUCUUUAAUGCCGAUUAGGAGGGUUGUUGGAUAAUUAAGAUUUGUUUAGGGGUCCAUAACUAUGAGACUGGUAAAGUUCUUGUUACUUGACCAGUCUGAACAAUGGUCUCAAAUCAGGCAGGAAGACCCGCUGAACUUAA
rnacentral:misc_RNA from 1 species